rnacentral:piRNA from 1 species
UCAGAUAAUGGUGUAGAUGAGAUUUCC